rnacentral:lncRNA from 1 species
AAGUGGCAUUUCCCAUGGCAGCCACUGGCCUCCAGACAGCACAUCCUCCCUCCGAAGAUCCAGCUCUACCUCACAAUCCUACUGGACCCUGCACUCGUGGCCCCCAUCUGGCAAGGGAGGAGGCCUAUUUGCCGCUGAGAAAUACCAGGAUAAUGUGUACAACUUUGCCAUUUGGUCUGCGAAACCUGAAAUGUGUACUCCGCCCUUUACAGAGCAAAGCUUGUGGACCCCUGCUCUAAGCAGCAUCUGGUCAGUCAGCAAUAUCGGGAUCAGUUGACCAGACACAGAGGAGAUUAGUUAGAAGAGAACGAGACGGAGCAAAACCGUGGCUGCCUUAAUUGCUUAUAACAAAAGCACAAGCGAAUGCCAUUACUGUGAUUGGAAUUUAUCCAGGACGUUAGGAUCAACUCAAAAUGCCAUGAGCUCUUUCAUGUCCCUGAGUGCUCCGUUCUUUACUUUUAUAUCCUUUCCAAAAGACAGAGCUCCUCCAUGCCAGGUUAUUGGCUGGAUAUGACAAUAGUAAAUCUCCCGUGACACUUCCAGCAGCACAUAAGAAGACGGUUCUCAGAAAUGACCGAUAAUUGACCCUGUGCGACCUGCCUGAGCAUGUGAGGUCUCACAGGCUCGAACAUUAAGUAUGGAAUUAUUUCCCAAUAGAUACUUUGCAUGUAAUGCUAUUCAACUAUUCAGAAAAUGAACAAAAUAGAGUCGAGGAAGAGAAUAGUCUCUUUUUUAUCUUCCAGUGAUAAAUGAAAUUGAGUUUUGACCAGCUGAUGGAAAAAUUACCUCUUAUUUCUGAAAUCAAUGAUGACAUAAUUAGAUUUAGCAAAUGGAUUUUUUUUUUUAAGUGAAGAAAAAAAAGCCCUUUAAAAUCACCAGGUCUAUUUUCUAUAGUUAGGCUAGGAGAAUCCCCUGAUCUGAAUUUUCCAGGGUUUUGUUUGGUUUAAUAAAAGAGUUUGACUUUGUUUUAUCAGCAUUGCUGCAUAACAAAUCACCACAGAAU